GUAGGGUGCGAGCGUUAAUCGGAAUUACUGGGCGUAAAGCGUGCGCAGGCGGUUUUGUAAGCCAGAUGUGAAAUCCCCGGGCUUAACCUGGGAAUGGCAUUUGGGACUGCAAGGCUGGAGUGUGGCAGAGGAGACUGGAAUUCCUGGUGUAGCAGUGAAAUGCGUAGAUAUCAGGAGGAAUACCGAUGGCGAAGGCAGGUCUCUGGGCUGACACUGACGCUCAUGCACGAAAGCGUGGGGAGCAAACAGGAUUAGAUACCCUGGUAGUCCACGCCCUAAACGAUGUCGACUGGUUGUUGGGGGUUUGACACUCUCAGUAACGAAGCUAACGCGUGAAGUCGACCGCCUGGGGAGUACGGCCGCAAGGUUA
rnacentral:rRNA from 1 species